rnacentral:rRNA from 1 species
UUCCGGUUGAUCCCGCCGGACCCGACUGCUAUCAGAGUGGGACUAAGCCAUGCGAGUCAACGUAGCAAUACGUGGCGAACGGCUCAGUAACACGUAGUCAACAUGCCCAGGGGACGUGGAUAACCUCGGGAAACUGAGUAUAAACCGCGAUGGGUCAUGAUUUCUGGAAUGAAUUAUGGCUGAAAUCUAUAUGGCCCCUGGAUUGGACUGCGACCGAUCAGGCUGUUGGUGAGGUAAUGGCCCACCAAACCUGUUACCGGUACGGGCUCUGAGAGGAGGAGCCCGGAGAUGGGCACUGAGACAAGGGCCCAGGCCCUAUGGGGCGCAGCAGGCGCGAAAUCUCUGCAAUAGGCGAAAGCUUGACAGGGUUACUCUGAGUGAUUUCCGCUAAGGAAAUCUUUUGGCACCUCUAAAAAUGGUGCAGAAUAAGGGGUGGGCAAGUCUGGUGUCAGCCGCCGCGGUAAUACCAGCACCCCGAGUGGUCGGGACGAUUAUUGGGCCUAAAGCAUCCGUAGCCGGCCCUGCAAGUCUUCCGUUAAAUCCAUCCGCUCAACGGAUGGGCCGCGGGAGAUACUACAGGGCUAGGAGGCGGGAGAGGCAAGCGGUACUCAGUGGGUAGGGGUAAAAUCCUUUGAUCCGUGGAAGACCACCAGUGGCGAAGGCGGUCCACCAGAACGCGCUCGACGGUGAGGGAUGAAGCUGGGGGAGCGAACCGGGUUAGAUACCCGGGUAGUCCCAG